GACGAACGCUGGCGGCGUGCUUAACACAUGCAAGUCGAACGGAAAGGCCCUGCUUUUGUGGGGUGCUCGAGUGGCGAACGGGUGAGUAACACGUGAGUAACCUGCCCUUGACUUUGGGAUAACUUCAGGAAACUGGGGCUAAUACCGGAUAGGAGCUCCUGCUGCAUGGUGGGGGUUGGAAAGUUUCGGCGGUUGGGGAUGGACUCGCGGCUUAUCAGCUUGUUGGUGGGGUAGUGGCUUACCAAGGCUUUGACGGGUAGCCGGCCUGAGAGGGUGACCGGCCACAUUGGGACAGAGAUACGGCCCAGACUCCUACGGGAGGCAGCAGUGGGGAAUAUGGCACAAUGGGCGGAAGCCUGAUGCAGCAACGCCGCGUGCGGGAUGACGGCCUUCGGGUUGUAAACCGCUUUCGCCUGUGACGAAGCGUGCGUGACGGUAAUGGGUAAAGAAGCACCGGCUAACUACGUG
rnacentral:rRNA from 1 species